AGAAUCCUGCAAUAUGUCCUUGGAAGGUCUCUGCUGAAAAUUUCAAUGCCUCCUGCAAAAAGAAGGAAGAGAAAGAAAAGGAGAAAACAGAGGCAGAGGAUCUUUCCCUAGAAGAGAUUCUGUGAAACGCUCCCUCUUAUGGAAACACACAUAAAGUCUCUCUCUUGCCUGUCUCCCGUUGAAGAUCAACCAGUUCUCCUGCCAGGUUUGAGGACCCGGGCUCAGGCCCCGGCAGGUAUCCGGGAUGGUCCCUCUCCCUAACCCGGGCAAGGAGCAUCGGUGACCGCUGCAAGCCCUCGGCAGCAUCCCAGCUUGGCAGCCCCUCCCCCUGGCCUCCCCAACCCGGCGCCCUGGGGAGGAUGGGGCACUUACAGGCGGCGGCUGAGACCCUCCACCGAGCGCCCGCAGGAGGGCACCGCGUAGCUCAGCAGGAACACCGCGACGCUCCACUGCUGAACCAGUCUCCGCUGCAUCGUCUCCGCUCGCGCUCGGGACCUGCAACAGAAGGGAAUGGGACCCGAGUGUCAGUCUGGACUCUCCAUCUCCCCGCACUACUCCGCUCCCCCUUUUUAGCCCGCUCUCAAAAAGCCUCUUCAACAUCAAGGGCAUCUCCCAAGUUGAAAAGAAAAAAAAUUUCUCUGGAGCCUCUCAGCACUUACUUAUUUAGCAACCGGCUACUCCAACUGUGCUUUCUCCAAACCACACAGCCAGAAAGAGCAAAAAGGGAAAAAAGAAACAAAUCAGAGGCGCUUCCUCUGAAAUAAUAGCGAAAAUAAAAUGGUUUUAUAUAUG
ensembl:lncRNA novel transcript, antisense to PTHLH